rnacentral:rRNA from 1 species
GACCUCGGAUCAGGUAGGAAUACCCGCUGAACUUAAGCAUAUCAAUAAGCGGAAAAGAAACCAACAGGGAUUGCCC